CAGCAGCAACUGCAACAGCAGCCUCCAUACCCCCAGCAGCUGCUAGGGCACCUUCACAAGACGCCGCUUCAGCUAGCGCCGCAAUACGGAACCGCCAGGUCCCCAUCAAAGGAGGGGGAUGUGCGCAUUGAAGGGUGGAGCAAUAGCGGUUCCUCCGGGGUGCAGCCCAAUGUCCCGGUCUCGGCAGCGCAAACCACGGAAGAGGCGAGCGGUGCCGUGACAUCCGCAGACGCUCUGGUUGCCGCUAGUCACGUGCCGCAACCCGAUGCUCUCCAUCGCAAUCCCAUCGUUAGCGUCACCGCAUCAGAGUCUCCUGCCGCCGCGGCACCGGAAAAAGAGGAAUCGUCAGAGCGCGUCCACGUUUUAGUUGUCUUCGACAAGGUGUUCUGCGUUUGCUUUGUGCCGUCGGCACUGCGCGCGACACUCAAGGUUGGCGAACUGGUUCUCUGCGAGUACACCCACGGCGAGAAUAUCGGCACGAUCGUCGCGGACGUGAGCACCCUCGUUGCCAAGGUGAUGCAGCAGCACCAAAGCACCAUGAGCUUGGCAGCAGUUGAGCAGGCCUUCACUCCGCCGUGUGAGCGCGUCGUCCGCACUGCCGGCACCCCCGUGUCCUCCGUGGUUGAGGGGCACUCGAGUGGUUUGUUUGUCGCGACCACGGCCAUGUGCACCGAAAAGGCUCACAGCGGCUUGCCGGCGGAUCAACGGCUGCGCCGUCUUCCGUGCGUCCUUCGGCGCGGCACGAACCGAGACAAGAAACGUAUGUACUUCGCGCGGCUUCGCAGCAAUGACGCACUGGCUGCUGUGCUCCGCAUUCUCCGCAGCGAGCCGUUGGUCGCGCAGUCCGCCGAGUAUCAGGUGAACUUCGCGUGCGUCACCAUCUAUCUCGGUGGUGAGCGCAGUCAGUGCGGCUGGUCGGCACAUCAGUUUCAGCAACUCGGCAACACGCUGGUCGACCCUUUGCGCUCAGAGACGGUAGAGUUCCGCUUCGUGUGCGACCAGCACCAUGAGGAACUCGACCUGACGCGCGCCAUCACUGGAUUGGGGCUGAGUGAGAUUCUGUACGCUGUCGUGGCGGACCACCACAAACGUCAAAGCGGCAAAGGCGGGCAAGGCAGCCGUGGUGGAGCCGCACACGGAGCCGCCGUCAACCGGCCGGGUCCGUUGAUUCAGCACUCGCAGCAGCAGCAGCAAGCCGGGCAGCUGUUUGGUGGUCAGUCGAGUACCGUGACGACCUACACAGGCUCUUCGAUGUGGCCUCAGUCAGCGACAGCUCUUACCCCAGGCAGCUGCGUUACUCCCGCCUCGCAGCAGCAGCAACGGCAGCAGAAACAUGCAAUGGGCUACACGCUUGCCCCCUGUAUGUACGUGCCCCAGCAGCAGCAGCAGCAGCAGCAGACGACGAAUGUGCACACCAUUACUCUCCCUAGCCACGCCGUCACGAAUACACAGCCAGCCACACAGUCUCUUUCCUUGGUGCAGGUGCACUACCCGCCCAUAAGCCAAGUGAACCCAGCACCGGGCAUAUACUGGGCAAACGUCUCGACGCCGCCUCAACCGCAGCGACUGGAGGCACCGCAGCAGCAGCAGCAGCAGCAGCUUUCUAUCGCACACAGUGGAGUGUCGGAGCCGGCUUACUACUAUGUAGUAAGCUCGUCACAGCAGCAGCAGCAGUCCGUCGCACCGCAACCCUCGUCGGCACCGCAAAGGGGACCAACGCUACUGCAGGCAAGAGCACUCGCUGCCCCUCCCCAUGUUCACCCACCAACGUUUGUCGAAGUACCUGUUAUGAACACAGAGGGCUACCAGGCAGUCUCCUACCCGUUCGUGUUGCCCUCAAGCACUACCCCUUACUCGUAGUAUGCCUAUUUACGUUUUCUCGCGCAGUGUGGUGGUGGUGGUGGUUCUUCUUUUUUUGCGUUGGCAUCCGGGGUAAGGGGGAUGCAGCACGCAAAACAGGUCAUGUCACCUCUACACCACACCCCCUCUUGAGACCGUUGGGAAAGGAAGAGGUGUGGCCGCACCGAAAAAAAAAGGGCAUGAGCUGUGUAGAUCUCUGUCGCUUUUUGGAGCAAGCACCGCCCCUCACGUGCACCCGGCACACACUGACGAAUGCGGCCCGAGUCCAGCACCCCUCCACCAGACCUCCAUGUGAUACUCCUUUUCUUGUUAUGAUCUUCCUUCAUCUAACACUUCCCUGUAGAUUCUCUGGUACUGCCUGCUUUCGCUCUUUCCGUUCGGCCACCACACCUUCCCCUUCUUCCUCCCCCUCCCUCCUCACUACUUCCACCCCUGGCUCUCUCCCUUCCUCACAAGCAAAGUACAGCGCCCCCUUUUCUUGUGUCGUCCGCCACAUCUCGCUCUUUUUUUCCGCUCUUCAAGACAGUAUGCAUGUUUUGUUAUGCAUUUGUUCCUCUCUCGUUGUGCAUGCGUGCAGUCUUCACACCACUGUUCAGCUCCCUUCCUCCCCCUCUUUGUUUCGCGUUCCUCGUGGCGCGACGCGCUUGCAUCGCGGCGGCUGGUAGCCCUCAGCGGAGAAAAAAAGAAGGUUACGCACGUACACUGUACGCGAAGCUGUGGUAGACAAGUUUUCUGAGCACCAGUAAAACAAAACGAAAAUCAUGAAAAACGAACAUUUUCGUGCUUUCCAUUUUCUGUCUCGCUCACAAAACGAAAAAGGAUACGGCUCCUGCGAAGAGAGGCUGAGCGCGAUGCAUUUUGCCGUGGAGUAGCAGUGAAUGGUGGUGCGGCAGAAGCUACGUUGAGGGUGUCGAACAAACAAAGACUGUCGUUCGCGCAUCUUUUUUAUCACCGUUGUUGUCUAUCUCUCUUGUUUGUUUUCGAUGCUCUCGUGAUGAUCUUUGCUCACACCCCAUGUAUGCGUGUCCUUGUCGACGUGUUCGUGGUAGGACAGGCACGGUGAGGAAAAUAAGCAAACAACAACAAAAAGGAACCUCUGCAUGUGUUCUUCCGUAUUUCUUGUGUUUUUUGUACGUGUCUGUGCGUAUGAUUAGAUUUACGUUUGUUUGCUUGCUUGCUUGUUUGUUUUUGCUUUACUUCUCUCUCUCUCUGUUUGCUCUUUUUUUUUAUUUUUCGAUUUCUUGUGUGCGUGUGUGUCUCACUCUUUACCUUUCACCUUUGUUCGUGCUGGUGUGUCUGUGCGUUUUUUUUUUGCGGUUUUGGUCUCUUCUCUCUAGUCCCUCUCUCUAUAUAUGUUUCUCAUUCAGUGUGUGUGUGUGUGUACUUCUCCUUUUUUUUGUCCUGUGUUCUUCUGAUUCCACCGGCACUUUAUGGUUUUUGCUACUGGCAUGGUCUCUGCGCAUGGCAGCAGGGUCGGGAAAAGACAAGGGGUUGUUGGUGUGUCGUCAUCACCGCACCCGUGUUUUCUGUCUGUUGAUUGUUGUUGUGCUUUCCGCACUCCCCUUUUCCUUCUUUGACAGUGCGAUGGUGUUGUCGGUGUUUUUUUUUCCAAUGAACACGUCGAUGUGUGCAUGUAGAUAUGUGGGUGUGUGAGCUGCCCUUUUUUUUUGCACUCUGAAUUAUCGCUUCCGCUUAAAAACCCCGCCUUUGGGACUUUGUUGUUGUGGACAUCGAUGUUCUCUUUCCUUUAUCUCUUUUUCCUUUUUCUCACUCUCUGCCAUCCUUCUCCGAUACUUCGCUGCCUCUGUCUCUGCCUCUUCCCGGCCACCCACCUUCUCCUGAGUGGGAGAAACCUAGGGGACGCAGAGAAAGCGAGGGACAUCACGCUGCGCCGCUGCCAAAGGGAGAAGAAGCAAAAAAAAAAGAGGUAAGAAAGUGCCAAAGACGAGAGAACUGAGCUGAUUGAGGUGUACACCAGAAGACGUUCCCGCUUCAGCAGACUCAGUGAGAAAAAAAAAGGUUGAUGACUGGGUUACCGGUGCACAAAACACAAAGAGAGAAGCCGAACAAGCGAGGGAGUGAAAACAAAAAGAGUUGUACCGUCACGCAGCAUGUCGGCACCAGGAAACACGGGAGAAGAUAGCAUCUGCGUGCCCAUUCGUGUGUGUGGGUGUGUGGGUGUUUGCGCUCGUUCCUCGAUGGUUCUCCGCUCCUCCACCUUUGGCACUCGUCCGUCUGAGAGUGAGCCGCCAGAUUUGUCCUCCACGCACGAGCAGUACCAGCAAGAACGAGAGCAUCAAGAGCUGACGCAGAGGAGGCGAAAAUGAGAGGCGUGAGUGGUGGACUUGGCAGCCUUCAUCACACGUCGUGAGUGCGGGGCUAGUCUCCGUCAAAGCAAACGACGACCUCUCGCUGUCGUAUUUCGUAUUUGCAUGAUGCCCUCCUCACCUCCCUUCAUUCAGUGCACUGGAGCGUUCCUCGAUACCCGGCUUGAUCGGGUUUUUUUCUAUGGUCGACCCCUCCUCCCUCUGCGACGUGCGUCGCAGGUAUUUCCCGUAAGCAGUCCUUAUUGCUUCUCAGCGCCUCUUACCAUUACUCUUCUUCUUUUUUCGCUGUUAAUCCUAUCGGUUUCCCUUCAAGUGAUGGUUUACUCCUUGCAAUAUGCUCUUGUUUGUUUUCCACGCUUGUUCUCCCGCCAUGUCCGCUUUUGGACUCAUCAAAAAAAAAUGUUCCAAUCAAGAGAGACGAUUCAAGGCAUCAACCACCUACCUCUCUCUUCUUGCGUUUGCUUGUUUUCUUUGUUUACUUUUAUCUCUCCCUUUUUUUUUCAUGUAUCCCUCGACUCUACUUUUUUUUGUGUGCGGCCAUCCGGGUGGAGACGCCAGAUUACUUUUUCGGUGUUUUUGUGCGUAUGUGGCGCGUGCGCGUUACGUGUCUUUCAUUCACGCCACCUCCGUUGCUUUGUUGCCCCUCCUCUCCCCGCUCCUUCUUCCCUUCACAAUUCCCCCCCCCUCCCCUUUGCAGCGCGUGUGACGCCACCGUAGAGAUCACAAGCUGCUGUAUUCUCGUCCUUGCUGCACCCACCCACCCCCACCCCACACCGAAAAAAAAAGGAAGAGGAGAGUCACUAAAAGAAAAACUGGGCAGGGGCCUUUGUGCCCUCUUUCUUUCCCCUCUUUUCCUGUUCACUGCCUACCGCGUCCUUCUCUCCGUCUUUACGCUCCCUUCUCCUUUACAUGUGACUCGAUUCUUUUUUUUUUGCUUUUCGCUGGUAUUUGUGAGCCUGUGCGUAGGAGGAAGGGCGAAUAACUUCGACUCAUCUCCUUCCUCAGUCGUGAGCGUGGUCACGAGGCAGUGUUGUGUGCGGGGGACGAGGUAAAAGGAAGGCGCUCCUCACCUCCUUCAGAGAGCGACCCGAAACUUCCAACACCAAAAAAAAAUAUAUAUUGCGCAGAACAAGAAGAAGGCAACAAAGCACAAGCCACAAAAAAGGUUCAUGGGGGCCCGCAAGCGCCUUUUAUUCUUCUCCCUUUUGGUUUUUCUUCCUCUUUUACGGAAGACAGAAAUGGAAGCUGCAGACAGCGAGUCGCCCAUGCAGCCGUGUCGUGCUGAAACAGCCCCCAAGAACUCUCCCACCACCUCUUCCGAAAAAAGAAGGCGAGAGCGCACGGUGCGCAGGCGCUGCCAUGCACAGCUGGCAUGGGUGUGCCGCAUCCAUGCAAGGCGUGCGGUUGUCCGAUGCGCAAGAGUGAUGGGCGAAAAAGGGCGCGAAGGGCACCAUACGAAUCGGCGCCAGGGCGCAUGUGUGCGCAGAGCAUGCGGCGUCUCCUGCGUCCGACGCAGUGGGCUGAUAUGAGGGCACGGGUGCCGGAAGCAUGGCAUACGGCCGGGUUGCAGAGGCUCUGAAGGGCUCUCACCGGAGGCUGGCCGGCUUGUUCCUCGAGCUCAUUCGGCACGCGCCUGGCCCACCACCACCACCACCACCUCUGCUACCCCGCAGGGCGGCUCGUUCUCGGCGACCAGGAGAUGUCGCCGCCGUGCGGCCAGAGGGUUUGGGCGCUGUGGUUGCGGAGGCGUGUACGCGCUGUUGCAGACGUGUUCGUGGUGAGAUGGACACGUCCAAGAUCAAAAAUGCCGAAAGGCGGCUGAGGUGGCCCUCGCUUUUGUUUCUGUUUUACUCUUGUUCUCUUUCCUCUCCCUCUUUCUUUUUCUUUUUCUUGCUGUCUCGCUUCUUCCGAACUGGAG
rnacentral:misc_RNA from 1 species